GAGUUUGAUCCUGGCUCAGAACGAACGCUGGCGGCGUGCCUAACACAUGCAAGUCGAACGUGAUCCAGAGCUUGCUCUGGUGAAAGUGGCGCACGGGUGAGUAACGCGUGGAUAACCUACCCUGGUAUCCGGGAUAACAUUCCGAAAGGGGUGCUAAUACCGGAUAAGCCCACGGGCUCUUUGGAGCUUGCGGGAAAAGGUGGCCUCUAUUUAUAAGCUACUGUAUCAGGAUGGGUCCGCGUACCAUUAGCUAGUUGGCGGUGUAACGGACCACCAAGGCGACGAUGGUUAGCUGGUCUGAGAGGAUGAUCAGCCACACUGGAACUGAGACACGGUCCAGACUCCUACGGGAGGCAGCAGUGGGGAAUUUUGCGCAAUGGGGGAAACCCUGACGCAGCAACGCCGCGUGAGUGAUGAAGGCCUUUGGGUCGUAAAGCUCUGUCAGAGGGGAAGAAAUGAUAUAGUGCUAAUACCACUUCAUCUUGACGGUACCCUCAAAGGAAGCACCGGCUAACUCCGUGCCAGCAGCCGCGGUAAUAC
rnacentral:rRNA from 1 species